CCUAGGGUGACGGUGGAGUCAGGCUAGCGGGGCUGUGGCGGGUUGGUGCAGUGGCGACGCGACGCGGUGCAGGCAGACCCGCAACGGCUAGGAAGACCUCUGCAAAAAAAUAAACAAGCCUGUCAAUAAAAAAUUUCGGCAGCACCUCCCCUGCACGGGGAGGUUUCCAAAACCUGCAAAUAAAACUGACAACACAAUGGCUGACAUCCACACAUAUAUCAACGGCACGAUGGCCGACAAUCACAUUUAAUCGACAUCCAUAUCCACCAUCACAUUAUAUAGAAACUAUUUUACUAUCGCCACACAAUCAUAUCUAAUCGGCAUACAACUAAAACUAGGACCCCUGACCCGGGCACCUCCGUUAGCACUAGUUCUUGUCACCAACUAAUACUAAACGGUUCAAAGCUUUAGUACAGAUUGUUAUCAACUGGUACUAAAGCGCACUCUUUGAUAGCCGUUUUUAAUACUAAACCGUACUAAAGCGCACUCUUUGAUAGCACUAGUUCUUGUCACCAAUUUAUGUUUACUGUUUAUUUGUAGUGGAAACUAGAAGAAAUCAUCGUUUGUUCUUCAAUUACGUACCGGAGGCGAGGACGGCGGAGGCGCGUGGGCGGGCGGACGGCGGCGAGCGGGCAGACGGCGCGGCACGAACGGCGGCGCGUGGGCGGGCGGACGGCGCGGCGUGUGGGCGGACGGCGGCGCGUGGGCGAGGACGGCGCGUGGGCGAGGGCGUGGGCGACGGUGCGUGGGCGGACGGCGGCGGGUGUGAAAGUGAGAGUGAAAGGUGAAGGAAGGAGAAGAGGUUGUCGGUCUGUAUAAUUAACGUCUUUGCCGAGUGCCCACGAUCUGGCACUCGACAAAGAUUUUUUUAAAAUUAACAAAUAUACUUUGCCGAGUUCCUUUGAUCUAGCACUCGGCAAAGGCUUCUUUGUCGAGUGCCUGUCUGGUGGCACUCGACAAAGACUAGACUUAGGGUUUUUAAAAAACCUUUGCCGAGUGUCGCACGACAGGCACUCGGCAAAGCAUUCUUUACCGAGUGUCCAGGCUUGGACACUCGGCAAAAUAUAUUUUUAUUUUUUAUUUUGUUUACCAAACUUUUUGUGGUAUGUUCCUACACUAUGUAGACCUACAUGUACCAUUUUGGGACAAUUAUAACUGUGUUUUCAAUAGCUAGUAGAUUUAGUUCGUUUAUUUGAAUUUUUUCGAAAAAUUUAGAUUUGAACUGCAGGUCACUCGAAACUUAGAAAACUGUGCAUGCAAAAAUGAUAUUCAUGUUACUUAGCAUAGGUUACAACCGAUUUCAGGAGCGGAUCGGAAACUUCGAGCAACAUGCUCACUAAACAUGGUCGUGAACUUGCCAUCCACAUGUUUAAAAAUUGUAUAAAACACAAACAAAGUCAGAAAAUCAUAAAACUUGUCCACGUGUCAUGAUAUCAUAUGUACAGGCUGUGAUAAAAAAUUUAGAAUGUUUGGAGAAAGUCGUGAGACACUAUGUGUAGAAACCUAAGAGAACUACACAUGAAAUCAUAGAGUUUUAAUUUGGAUCUCUUAGUUUUGUACACAUAGCGUGUCAUAGUUUUCUCGAAAUUUUUUUAAUUUUUUAUCACAGCAUGUACAUAUGAUAUCAUGACACGUGGACAAGUUUCAUGAUUUUCUGACUUUGUUUGUGUUUUAUACAAUUUUUAAACAUGUGGAUGGCAAGUUCACGGCCAUGUUUAGUGAGCAUGUUGCUCGAAGUUUCCGGUCCGCUCCUGGAAUCGGUCGUAACUUAUGCUAAGUAACAUGAAUAUCAUUUUUGCAUGCACAAUUUUCCAAGUUUCGAGUGACCUGCAGUUCAAAUCUGAAUUUUCCGAAGAAAUUCAAAUAAACGAACUAAAUCUACUAACGAUUGAAAACUCUGUUAUAAUUAUCCACAAAUGAUACAUAUAGGUCUACAUAGUGUAGGAACAUACCACAAAAAGUUUGGGAGACAAAAUAAAAAAAAUAAAAAUAUACUUUGCCGAGUGUCUAGAGAAGACACUCGGCAAAGCAUCCUUUGCCGAGUGCCCAAUAUUUGGCACUCGGCAAAGACUGACGGCCGUCAGCUGUAGAUGGCCGCUAACGGCCCUUUGCCGAGAGCCAUCUUUGCCGAGUGUUUGACUCUCGGCAAAGCAGUCUUUGCUGAGUGCUUGGCUGUGCCGAGUGUCCUGCACUCGGUAAAUAAGAUCUUUACCGAGUGUAGGACUUUGCCGAGUGCGGCGCUCGGCAAAGGCGUCUUUGCCGAGUGCCCGAUAAAAAGCACUCGGCAAAGCCGCCAGCACUCGGCAAAGGCCCGGAUUCCGGUAGUGCCACCGGUAACACUUCUUCUGUGCUCACCAACAUAAUUCGUGCGGGUAGAUCAACACCUACUCCCCUCCUGGUAUUAACCAUCUGGGUUAGAGACAUAGGGUAAUAUAGUUUUGCAAGAGUCAUAAUUUUAGUAGGAGUCUAGUAGCUGGUCACAAGAUGAAGGAUCAUAAUUUUGGUUGGCUGGUGUUGUGUCUAGGUUGAGAUAACUAUGUUUAUAAGAUGGAUCUCAAAGGAUAAGAUAGAAUCUGUUAAGAUGAGAUGAAUCUAGGGCACUAGAUACAUUUUAAUGGGGGAUAAUCUAGGUUGGCUAGUUAUCUUAUAAACAAAAUUUUUUAUGCCUAUAUGUAUAUGCAGAUGCAAUUGUGGACAUUACUCCAUAACUCAUCACACUUAAUCAAAGAACCAAAUCAAAUAGUUAUCAUAAGAACAAGCAUUCAAGUGCAUAGAUACCUACAAAAAUACUUUUGUUUUUGUUCCUAAGAUUAGGUCUCCUAUUCCUAAGAGUCACUUUAGGUACAUGAUUUCAAAACGUGAAAUCCACUUUUGUCUUUAGAAGAGAAAAUGUAAGAGUAAUCAGAGUAAAGCAGCAAUAGAUGAGAAAAAAAUUAAAGGUAAGUUUAGAAAGAAUCAGAGUAGUAAAGGUAAGUAGGUAAGAGUUGUCCAGUUCUAUCUACGUUACGUCCUACAGUCAACAUUCCUCUGAUACCACUUCUAUCACACCCGGGUUUAAGGGCCACACCCAGGUUUAAGGGCCAAACCCGGGUGCGAAUCAAAUGUGUGCUAAGAUCAUGUCUCACACAUAUGAUAACUCAUGGUACAGAAACAAAUGUCACAUCUUUAAUAUAAUGGAGUUCUGUAUAAAAUAGUUAGAUAAUUACAUCAUACGAAGAUAAAGAUCCAACAACCAUAGUUGACUGGGAGACGAAGGCCUAGACCUCUCACGAACUCAAAACAACAUCCUUCAUGCUCCUCAUCCUAUGGUACUUGUUCUUGACCUAGGGGGUGUGUGAGUACAGUAAGGGUGAGAUCACAUACGUUCAUCGCUCAAAAAGUUGUGGGGAAUAAGGUGCAUGAGCUUACUUACGGUGGGUGCUCAUGUGAAGUGUAAGGCUUACCAAAGAGGAUGGUUGAAGCUGAGCAUUGCUUUUAAAGUUGGUUAAAGUUUUAUUAGCAGUUACUAAGUAUAAGUAGAUACCAACCCAAUCAAAUAAGAUAUCACAAUUAAUAAUAACACCCACAAUGCAAUGCAAAUAACAAAUUAAGUUUAGUUCCAUAAAUUACUCAUGUGAGGGUUCGAGCCGCUCAUGACCGUGAGCAUGGCUGAUACCAGUUUUACACUCUACAUAGGUUGUGCAUCUUUACCCACAAGUCGUGUUACCCAUCUACCACGGGAUCAUGAAUCCCAUACACCUCUACCGAGGAGGCGAGACAGGGUAGCACUACGAGGCCUUUAUAAAGUUCCACUAGCUUUAGAAAACCUACUACAGUUUCCGAGAAGGGCGAUAUAGGAAUCCCUCGCCCGAAAAGCCAUCGCAGCAUGAUCAACCCGAGAACCUCCCUAUACCAUAGCUCCUCUACCGCCCUUGCCCCUUUCGGGUAAGGUAAUCCUCCCCUAGCUUUUCUAAUUAGUCAGCCAAUGGAAUCCCAUACCACCCUUGUGGUAGCACUAUUUUCCUGGGUGAUCGCUCCAUGUUCCAAUUAACAUAAUAAUCUUGUCAUGAACAAUAAUAAACCAACAAUAAUAGUGAAACAUGAUCAUAAUUCAAUAUAUCAUUAAUCCCAAAACUAGGUAGAGCAAUAGCAAUACUACCCAAUAGUUCAUUUGUUUGCAAGGUGUGGGAUAAACAAUACUAGGGAAACCUAUUAGGUCCCAUCAAAUUAACCUGAGCAUGGCACAAUGAUUAACAUGAACAUUAUUAGGUAGAGAAAAGUGAUCAAGGGCACAACUUGCCUUAGACUUGAGAUCCUAGGUAUUUCUCCAAGUUAAUCUUCAAGUUUCUCGUGACCUCACUGCUACUCGUAGCAAAACAUACAAAUAGACAAAGAGUACAUAAAAUAACAUUACACCAAACACGAUAACAAAAAAUGUAAAAAUAUUCUACGCGCUGCUACGAGAGUGUAGGUUAGAGAAUCACUAAAAUCAGAGUUAUGGUUGAAAAGGUAUGGCUUUCUGAAGUUUUAGAUGGUUAAAUAAUAAAAGUAUAAUCUAUGCUAAUUAAUAAUAGGUGAAACAAUUAUUGUAAAGAAGUAACUAAUCCAAGCUAUAACUUGUUUAGAAGUCAUAUUUUAGUCAAAUUAUAGAUGGAUCAAGUUAACUCUGAUUAGAAUAGAUAAUCUAGUCAGCAUAGGCUAAACCAACUAGUUAUCUAUUUUUGAAAACAUGUUAUAUGAUAGUAUAAGGUUAGUAUAGUGUAGGCAAGAUUGUUAUGAAGAUAACACAAUUUGGACGGAUUAAAUUGGAGUUAAAACGUAGAAGUUGUGAGUUUUGUAAGCAUUUAGGAUUUUCUUUACACAAAUAUCAUUUUCUAUGUCUAUUUUAUUAAUUCUAGCAAAUAAAUGGACUGCAGAUUCAAGUUGGUAAAGGCACAAGGGUUUAUUUGCAAGUUUUAGGAUCUAUUUUAAAUACCUUUCCAAAUAGCUUGGACGAUGGGUUAAUUAUAAAAGAACCUAGGGUCUCUUUAAGAAUUUGCCCCAGUCGAAGGGGUAUCGGAAACUCUGAACCACCAAAUCUAAAAUCUAGGACCCCAAUUGCAUCUAGCCCAUGCCGAACAGGUAAGCAGUGUUAACCAUUAGAUCGAGAUCUGAUGGCCCGGAUCCAAUGUAACCGAACAAAGCUUCUAUAAUCUAAUCAUGUCCGUAGAAAUAUGAUCUGACGGUCACGACUGCUCUCCCCAUCUGACUCUAUCCCCUGGUCGAGAACCCUGACGAUGCCAUACGAUCCGGCACAGCGGCGCCACGGUCGUGGCCCCCAAAACCCAUGACCCCAUGCACCACUCUUUGAUUCAAACACCAUUACUCGAAGCUUAGAUGUACACGAACCCAGAGAAGGGAGUCUCACCGAGGGUAGAGGUGGUGGCGAGGUUGUUCGAUGGUGUAGCGUGGCUCUACGGCGGAGGGAGCACUCCGGCGACGAAUUCUCGAUGAUUUGUUUGUCCUUGCGUCCUAAAUUUAUGCCUCUUAUCUUCCUUAUGUCUCCACGAAGCACCCAGACACGAAUCCAGACCCCGAAUGGCGACGCUCCUCAAUCCCGCCCGCGGCGGUGGUGCUUUUCCUUUGGCGCGCUCCGCGAUUCCCCCUGUGCCCUCAGAUUUGCGUGCUCUCAACGUUUGGGUGGCCAAGGAGGAGGCAGGAGUGUCCUAUAUAUACUCCAGGAGGACAAGCAGGCGCCAGGUCCGCUGGAAUCGUGCGGCGCGGGGAGCUCGGCCGCGCCUAUCACGAGUUGGUUGGGAGGACGGAUCUGACAACCCGGUCCCACGGUCGGUGGCGUGAGCACCAGAGUUGGACCGCAAUAUACGUUGAGGAGAGGGAGAGGGAGC
rnacentral:lncRNA from 1 species